rnacentral:rRNA from 1 species
UACAGAGGUCCCAAGCGUUGUUCGGAUUCACUGGGCGUAAAGGGUGCGUAGGUGGUGAGGUAAGUCGGAUGUGAAAUCUCCGAGCUCAACUCGGAAAUGGCAUUGGAAACUACCUUGCUCGAGGGUUGGAGGGGGGACUGGAAUGCUUGGUGUAGCAGUGAAAUGCGUAGAUAUCAAGCGGAACACCAGUGGCGAAGGCGAGUCCCUGGACAACUACUGACACUGAGGCACGAAAGCUAGGGGAGCAAACAGG